CCUACGGGGGGCAGCAGUGAGGAAUAUUGCACAAUGGGGGAAACCCUGAUGCAGCGACGCCGCGUGAGUGAAGAAGUAUUUCGGUAUGUAAAGCUCUAUCAGCAGGGAAGAAAAUGACGGUACCUGAUUAAGAAGCCCCGGCUAACUACGUGCCAGCAGCGGCGGGAAUACGUAGGGGGCAAGCGUUAUCCGGAUUUACUGGGUGUAAAGGGAGCGUAGACGGCAGCACAAGUCUGGAGUGAAAUGCCGGGGCUUAACCCCGGAACUGCUUUGGAAACUGUGCAGCUAGAGUGCAGGAGAGGUAAGUGGAAUUCCUAGUGUAGCGGUGAAAUGCGUAGAUAUUAGGAGGAACACCAGUGGCGAAGGCGGCUUACUGGACUGUAACUGACGUUGAGGCUCGAAAGCGUGGGGAGCAAACAGGAUUAGAUACCCUGGUAGUC
rnacentral:rRNA from 1 species